rnacentral:rRNA from 1 species
UACGGGGGGGGCAAGCGUUGUUCGGAAUUACUGGGCGUAAAGGGUUCGUAGGCGGCCUGCUAAGUCAGAUGUGAAAUCCCUCAGCUUAACUGGGGAACUGCGUCUGAUACUGGAAGGCUUGAGUGCAGGAGAGGAACGCGGAAUUCCAGGUGUAGCGGUGAAAUGCGUUGAUAUCGGGAGGAACACCCGUGGCGAAGGCAGCAUACUGGGCGGCAUCUGACGCUGAGGCGCGAAAGCGUGGGUAGCAAACAGG